rnacentral:rRNA from 1 species
CACGUAGGGUGCGAGCGUUGUCCGGAAUUAUUGGGCAUAAAGAGCUCGUAGGCGGUGUGUCGCGUCGGCCGUGAAAACUUGGGGCUUAACUCUGAGCGUGCGGUCGAUACGGGCAUCACUUGAGUUCGGCAGGGGAGACUGGAAUUCCUGGUGUAGCGGUGAAAUGCGCAGAUAUCAGGAGGAACACCGGUGGCGAAGGCGGGUCUCUGGGCCGAUACUGACGCUGAGGAGCGAAAGCAUGGGGAGCGAACAGG